rnacentral:rRNA from 1 species
CUACGGCCUCAGGUCAGACGUGGCGACCCGCUGAAUUUAAGCAUAUUACUAAGUGGGGGAAAAUAUACUAACCAGGAUUCCCUCAGUAACGGCCAUUGUAGAGGGAAGAGCCCAGCACCAAAUCCCUGUUCAGCGGCAGGCGUGGGAAUUGUGGCAUACAGAAGAUCGACUCCCCGGCAUCGCCCAUGGGGCUCAAGUCCUUCUGAUCGAGUCUCACCCUGCGGACGGUGUUAGGCCAGUAGCGGCCUCUGGCACACCGGGAUCAGGUCUUCUUGGAGUCAGGUUGCUUGGGAAUGCAUCCCAAAGCAUGUGGUAAACUCCAUCUAAGGCUAAAUUUGGGCGCAAGACGGAUGGCUAACAAGUACCAUAAGGGAAAGUUGAAAAGAACUUUGAAGAGAGAGUUUUAGUGGGCAUGAAACCGUUGAGAGGUAAACUGGUGGGGUCCAUGAAGUCCGCCUGUCGGAUUCAACACGGCAGGCAAGGCGGUCACAUGGAACAGUGGAUGCUCUCGCGGGACUGCGUCCCGGGCAGACCCGGCCCCCACAAGGUGCAUUUCCUCUGUGGCAGUGCACCGCUACCUGCUGGUAAGGCCCCAGGGGGCAGAGAGUGUUACAGCCCACUGACAGCAGUUUUGCUGUGUCCGGGGGGCCGAGGUAGAUUGACUGCUGCCGUCCCCUUCUCCGGCAACCGUCCUGGCCCCUUCUGGAGUCCCCAAAGCGCCGCCGGGAGACGGGGCUCCCGAUGCAUCUGUGGCAGACUGCCCUCAGUGCGCCCUGACCAUGUUGUGCCGCUGGGCGGGGAGGCCCACAAAGGGGGGUGCCGGGGGUCUGUGGUGAUGUCGGUUAACCACCCAACCUGUCUUGAAACACGGGCCAAGGAGUCUUAACACGUGCGCGAGUCGGAGGGUCAAAUGAAACCAUGUGGUGCAAAGGUGAGGGCCGGCGCGUGCCGAUUGCACUGGGAUCCCGUUGCGGUGGCACCACCGACCCGUCUCGCCCGCUCUGUCAAGAAGAUGGAGCAUCAGCGUGUGUGAUGGGACCCGAAAGAUGGUGAACUAGGCCUUGUGGAGGUCCGUAGUGGUUGUGAUGUUUAAAUUGGCGUCCGACCUGGGUAUAGGGGCGAAAGACUAAUCAAACCAUCUAGUAGCUGGUUCCCUCCGGAGUUUCCCUCAGGAUAGCUGGCGCACGGAAACCCCAGUUUUAUCUGGUAAAGCGAAUGAUUAGAGGUCUUGCUGCCAAAAUAAUCUCAACCUAUUCUCAAACGUUAAAUGGGUAAGAAGCCCGACUCGCUGGCGUGGAGCCGGGCUUUGAAUGCAAGUGGCCAGUGGGUGCCCAACGCUCAUCUGACCCCCAGAAAAGGUGUUGGUGAUAUAUACAGCAGGACGGUGGCCAUGGAAGUCGGAAUCUGCUAAGGAGCCCAGGGGAGAGUUCUCUUUUCUUUGUGAAGGGCAGGACACCCUGGAAUGGGUUUGCCCUGAGAGAGGGGCAGAGCCUUGGAAAGUGUAGCGGUUCUGACGACAUUCUGUGAGCUCUUGCUGGUCCUUGAAAAUCCGGGGGAGAUAGUGUAAAUCUCGCGCUAUACCGUACCCAUAUUUGCAGCAGAUCUCCAAGGUGAACAGUCUCUGACAUGUUGGAACAAUUGUAGGAAAGGGAAGUCAGCAAGUCAGAUCCAUAACUUUGUGAUAAGGAUUGACUCUAAGGGCUGGGUCGGUCGGGCUGGGAAGCGGGGCUGGCGGCGCCGCAGCUGGACGAGGUGUCUCACCCUCCCUCCCCCCGGGAGCAGUGCCAACUCUGGAUGCGAGCCGGCAAUGCCUGUGGAUCGCCCUACUGCGGUGGUCGCUUCUAUCCGUUCCCUCCCGGGUUUGAGGCCGACGUUCUGCCUCAGCCGACGCCUAGGAGCUGACUUAGAACUGGCGCAGACCACGGAAUCUGACUUUAAACAGCCUUCGCGAAGGCCUGCGGUGGGUGUUGUGAUUUCUGCCAGCGCUCUGAAUGUCAAAGUGAAUAAAUUCAAUGAAGCACGGGUAAACGGCAAGAGUAACUAUGACUCUCUUAAGGAAGUCAAAUGCUUCGUCAUCUAAUUAGUGAUGCGCAUGAAUGGAUGAACGAGAUUCCCACUGUUCUACCUACUAUCUAGCGAAACAGCAGCCAAGGGAAUGGGCUUGGCAGAAUCAGUAGGGAAAUAAGACCCAGUUGAGCUUGCCUCUAGUCUGGCACUGUGAAGAAACAUGCAAGGUGUAGGAUAAGUGGGAGGUCCUCGGGUUUCUGGUGAAAUACCACUCAUCUUAUCAUUUUUUCACUUACCCAGUGAGGUGGAGGCAAGCCCCGUGGGGCUCUCACUUCUGGCUCCAAGCACCCGCCGUGUGCGACCCGCUCCGGAGACAGUUGCAGUUGGGGAGAUUGACUGGGGCGAUACACCUGUCAAACAAUAACGCAUGUGACCCAAGGCGAGCUCAGGGAGGACAGAAACCUCCCGUGGAGCAGAAGGCCAAAAGCUCACUUGAUCUCGAUUUUUCAGUAUGAAUACAGACCGUGAAGGUGGGGCCUCACGAUCCUUCUGACGCUUUGGGUUUCAAGCAGGAGGUGUCAGAAAAGUUACCGCAGGGAUAACUGGCUUGUGGUGGCCAAGCCUUCGUAGCGACAUUGCUUUUUGACCCUUCAUUGUCGGCUCUUCCUAUCAUUGUGAAGCAGAAUUCACCAAGCAUUGGAUUGGUCACCCACUAAUAGGGAACGUGAGGUGGGUUUAGACGGUCGUGAGACAGGUUAGUUUUACUCUACUGAUGAUGUGUUGUUGCAAUAGUAAUCCUGCUCAGUACAAGAGGAACCGCAGGUUCAGACAUUUGGUGUAUGUGCUUGGCUGAGGACCAUCUGUGGGAUUAUGACUGAUCACCUCUAAGUCAGAAUCCCCCCUAAACCAUAAAGAUACCGCAGCGCUGUCGAGCCUCGGUUGGCCUAGGAUAUCCGGCCUCUGGGCCAGUGCAUAAAGCCGCUCGCCUCAGGACUUGAGUGUGGACAGAAGGGGCCACCUCUCUCGCCCGUAGUGUACUGCAUGUUUGUGGGGAACCUGGUGCUAAAUCUUUCGUAGACGACCUGAUUCUGGUUCAGGGUUUUGUACGUAGCAGAGCAGCUACCUUGCUGCAAUCUAUUGAAAGUCAUCCUC